AGACCAAUAGGGAUGGGGACUGGACCUACGAAUUCAUUGGGAUAGAGAAGUCUCAGGUGAGGAAACUUUUCACUAAGGCAGGACUAACUGGGAGCCGUUGAAGUCUGAACAGGGAAGUGACAUGGUCAGACCUGAACUUUAAGAAAACCACAUUGGCUGCUGUGUGGAAGAAGUAUUGGAUUGGAAGAUACUUGACACAGAGGGACCGUUUAAGAGACUAAUACAAUAAUCCAGGUCUGAGAAGAUGAGGGACUGAGAGAUGGUGGUAGCUGUGAAGAUUCUGAAGAUCACUUGACAAGAUGAGAUAUCAGAUGCUGAGGUCUUUUCUCCAAAUAAACUGCCAAGCAUUACAACUCUAGUGCAGAAAGCAGAACUCCAUUGGGCUGGCCACAUUGUCCAAAUGCCAAAGGUGCCAGGAGUCUUUUUACCCUCAUGAACAUUUUCCACUUUGGUUUUCUUCUGGAAUGUUAUUUGCUGUUCCCUCAUGAGUUAAGCCGUACUGGAGCUGUUCUACCAGUGACCCUUUUAUGCUGGAAACCAUGGUGUGUUCAACGCACUGUUUUUGUUCUUUCUUCUCUCUCUCUCUCUCUCUCUCUCUCUCUCUCUCUCUCUCUCUCUCUCUCUCUCUCUCUCUCUCUUUUCCUCUAGAUGCAAUGUAUGCAAAAGGUCCUUUCAUCUGAGGAGCUCCCCUCCAAGCCCCUCCCCUCAAACACACACACUUUCUUUAUUCCUUUUUUUCUUCCCCCUUUGGGCAACUGGAAUUGAGAAACAAGGUUAAAAGAACGAGAAAUGUGCACAUGCAUCGACUCAUGAAAAGGAACACAAAAUGAAACAAAUUAAAUGCCACCCAGCAAGAGUAGGGAACCUGAAAGAACAGAGAUGGAGGAGGAAUAAAAUGCAGAUCAAAAAAAGCAAGAGAGAGCAAAGGAAAGUCCGACUGGCAGCCAAGGUUUCUGGGAAUAGAGGCAUAGCAUGAUGGUGAAAUAAUUGUGCCCCUCCUGAUGAAGUCUUCCUCAUCAUCCUCCACUUGCCAAGCAAAGUCUGCCAUCCUCUGUUAGCUCCUGCAAUAUUUUAUCUUCUGAAUGUAACCUUCAUUCACUAGGGUGGAGAGGACUUGAUUAAUUAGCGGAGAUCUCUUUCACACAGGCAGAAGCUCUGUAGAGAUCACUGGUGCUAUUUAAGGAUGAAGAUGUAAAAUAAUUUGUGCUAUCUUUUCCUACAUCUCCUGCCAUUCACGGAAUAUGCAUACAUAAAGACAGACACAGAAACAAACAGAUAUAUAUGCAUUCAAAUCUCUCUAUUGACUUGUCAGAAAAUCUAGUCCUUUGUCUUUUUUUCCUUUGGGGAUAAUUUCUGGGGAAAGAGGACCAGUCGAAGAGAGGGCAUUUUCUGUGCUGGAAAACGGAUUGUGAUUACAGGUGAUGGGAGACAGAUUGUGUUAAUAGGGUGGGUUCUUACCAACCCUUGGCUCUUUUUAUAUAAGCUAAGCAAUUCUCCUAAACUAUCAAAUUGGAGAGAAGGGCAGAUGGGAAGGUGUGGAGUGAGAAGGAUAGCAUCCCUUUCCAAUCCCUGCUAUAAUCAUCCCUCAAUCCAGAUAAGUCUUAGAAAGCACCAUUUGCUCUUUAUCUCUCUGUUCCCCUCCACCCCCUUCUUUAAUUGCUUUGCUCCCACGAAUAGGUCUCUGGAGUUGAGGGUUUCCCCAUUUUUCAGGACAAAUGUAACUGUCUGGGGUUCGUGGCAGGGGGCCCCCUACAUUCCUCAGCUCAUUAAGAGAAAGUCUUGCCUUCGAGUGGCACAGGUAAUGAAGCAUCCGCGGGGUGCCUGCCGGCUCUAAUAAGAUGGAAUGAACUGAGGAAGAGAAUUAACCUGGUAGGAUUAGUUCAUUCUGUGGCAAGAUGCCUGGAAUCUCAUCUUACAGCCCGUGCCAGGAAUCUUAACACAUUCCUUUCACUGGAUGAGCCUUGUGUGGGGAGUGAGAGAUCCAGGGCAAAGCAGGGUAAGGGAAGCAGGGCUACAGAAGAUGGGUGGUGUGGCAAAGGAGAAAUCAGCCUCGGGUAUUGGCUAGAAGAAUCUUGGAGGUAGAUGGAGCUGAAUUAUAACUUCAGAGACUGAAAGAAAUCUUCCUCCUUUUCCUAUCGACCUCUUUUCUUUACUUCUUGCCCUGCUUGGGGAGGGGAAAACAUACAGCCAAUCCUUUCAUGGCCCCGCCACAAUUUAUUAUACUAAUGUUAGCAACUACCAAAUGUUCAAAGCUCUGGUUUGGAAUUUCAAUGCUAAUUCUUAAUCUCCAUUCUCACACGGGGAAGCAAAUCCUCUAGGACUCAGAGCUGGAAGGAAUCUUAGAGAUCAUCGAUCUGAUUCCAUCUUAUUUCAUAAAUUAAGAAACUGAGGCUCAGAUGAAGCUAUCUAUUCAAGGUCACGAAGGAGCAGGAUUUAAAUUCAAGACUUUCGACUCUGAAGAUAGUAUUAUCUUUACUUCCUUUUCCUAGCCUAUUAUGUCUUUAGAAAAAAGUAGAAAGA